AAAGUUUCGUGAUAAAAAAUACUUAGUGACAAAAUGCCUAACUUCUAGACUACAACGCGAUCCUCCUUUUGUGGGGAGAGAAGCCUCUCAUGAAUGGUUUCCUAGAGAAGAUUCUCCCAGCUUUCAGAGAAGAGGACUGGGAAAAU